UAGUUCCAGCUCUCAGAGUCUCUAGUUCUCGGAUGCUGAGAAGAUGAAGGCAGGAGUAGUGUUACCUGUCACAUUUAUUUCCGAUGCAGUGCCUCAGAAAUACUGCUGUUAAGCCUGUGCCUGAAAAGAUGAAGACCCAAUGGUAUUGUGGAUAGAAUUCAAGGCCUUGGGACUUGCUAAAUUGCUCACGCUGGACUGCAAGCUAAGAUCCUCCUGCCCCAACUUUCCAGAGUGCUGAGAUUCCAGAUGUGCGCCACUGCUCCCAAGUCCCUACUUUGCCUUCUGCCUGGGAGUAGGAAGGCACGUGAGACACCUGAGAUUCUGUGUCACUGGUAAAACUACAGCCAUAUAGAUGAACAGAACAGAAAAAAGUCUAGAAAGAGCCGCAUAGACAUGGGCAACUGAUUUCCAACAAAGGUGGCGUGGUACUUCAAUGGGGAAAGGAUAGCUUUUUUCAAGAAAUGACACUGAGCAGUUCUACAUCAAUAUGCUAAAAUAAACAAUAAAA